CCUACGGGUGGCAGCAGUAGGGAAUCUUUCACAAUGGGCGAAAGCCUGAUGGAGCAACGCCGCGUGCAGGAUGAAGGCCUUCGGGUUUUAAACUGCUUUUAUAAGCGAGAAAUAUGAUGGUAACUUAUGAAUAAGGAUCGGCUAACUACGUGCCAGCAGCCGCGGUCAUACGUAGGAUCCGAGCAUUAUCCGGAGUGACUGGGUGUGAAGAGUUGCGUAGGUGGCAUAAUAAGUAGCUAGUGAAAUCUGGUGGCUGAACCAUUCAGACUAUUAGCUAAACUGUUAAGCUCGAGACCGGUAGGGGUAACUGGAAUUUCUAGUGUAGGAGUGAAAUCCGUAGAUAUUAGAAGGAACACCAAUGGCGUAGGCAGGUUGCUGGGACGGUACUGACACUAAGGCACGAAAGCGUAGGGAGCAAACGGGAUUAGAUACCCGGGUAGUC
rnacentral:rRNA from 1 species